UACGAGGGGGCAAGCGUUGUUCGGAAUUAUUGGGCGUUAAAGGGCGCGUAGGCGGUGCGGUAAGGUCACCUGUGAAACCUCUAGGCUUAAACCUAGAGCCUGCAGCGAAACUGCCGUGCUGGAGUGUGGGAGAGGUGCGUGGAAUUCCGGUGUAGCGGUGAAAUGCGUAGAUAUCGGGAAGGAACACCUGUGGCGAAAGCGGCGCACUGGACCACACUGACGCUGAUGCGCGAAAGCUAGGGGAGCAAACAGG
rnacentral:rRNA from 1 species